UACGUAGGGGGCAAGCGUUGUCCGGAUUUAUUGGGCGUAAAGAGCGUGUAGGCGGCCGUACAGGUCAGCUGUGAAAACUCGAGGCUCAACCUCGAGACGUCGGUUGAAACCGUACGGCUAGAGUCCGGAAGAGGAGAGUGGAAUUCCCGGUGUAGCGGUGAAAUGCGCAGAUAUCGGGAAGAACACCCGUGGCGAAGGCGGCUCACUGGCCCGGUACUGACGCUGAGGUGCGAAAGCGUGGGGGAGCAAAGCAGG
rnacentral:rRNA from 1 species